rnacentral:tRNA from 1 species
GGAAGGGUGGCCGAGUGGUUGAAGGCGCUCGCCUGGAAAGCGGGUAGACGUGAAAGCGUCUCGUGAGUUCGAAUCUCAUCCCUUCCGCCA